AAAUGGUUGCCUAUGUACUCCUAUUGAAGAGGAGAUCAGGUCGACGUAGUUCGCCCCUUAGGGCGAGUGGAAAAGCAUAAUCCCAUAUGCAGGUCAGAGUGCGGGGAGGAGAAAGUUUAAUCCUAGGUUGAGGAUAAACUGCAGGUAUGAGAAGUUUGAUCCCAGGUAUGGGUAGCCAAACUGCAAACGCGAAAAGUUCAAUCUGUAGUGGGAUGAUCGUAGUCGUAG
rnacentral:lncRNA from 1 species